UAACACGUGGGCAAUCUGCCCUGCACUCUGGGACAAGCCCUGGAAACGGGGUCUAAUACCGGAUACGACCACCGGCCGCAUGGUCUGGUGGUGGAAAGCUCCGGCGGUGCAGGAUGAGCCCGCGGCCUAUCAGCUUGUUGGUGGGGUGAUGGCCUACCAAGGCGACGACGGGUAGCCGGCCUGAGAGGGCGACCGGCCACACUGGGACUGAGACACGGCCCAGACUCCUACGGGAGGCAGCAGUGGGGAAUAUUGCACAAUGGGCGGAAGCCUGAUGCAGCGACGCCGCGUGAGGGAUGACGGCCUUCGGGUUGUAAACCUCUUUCAGCAGGGAAGAAGCGCAAGUGACGGUACCUGCAGAAGAAGCACCGGCUAACUACGUGCCAGCAGCCGCGGUAAUACGUAGGGUGCGAGCGUUGUCCGGAAUUAUUGGGCGUAAAGAGCUCGUAGGCGGCGUGUCACGUCGGAUGUGAAAGCCCGGGGCUUAACCCCGGGUCUGCAUUCGAUACGGGCAGGCUAUAGUUCGGCAGGGGAGAUCGGAAUUCCUGGUGUAGCGGUGAAAUGCGCAGAUUCAGGAGGAACACCGGUGGCGAAGGCGGAUCUCUGGGCCGAUACUGACG
rnacentral:rRNA from 1 species